rnacentral:misc_RNA from 1 species
AUGACAACAUAAAAGGAUCAAACAAGUAAAAGGUCGGCUUUCAACCAAGUAACAGUUCUACUGUAUUGCUCUGAGAUAGAGUAGGUUACUUAAUAUUGUUGUAAAUUAUGUCUGUCUUAUUAUGUGUAAAGGAAGAACAUAGUUGGAGAAUCAAUCCCUUAGCACUUCACAUAAAUAUUUAAAAACACUACAUCAUCAUGAAAUGUCCACUUCCAUUCUUCACGAUAUAAGUAGAAAGGAAACUAUGCCCAUGACAUCGUGUUAUGUUAGUCA